CAGAAGUGUAUAAAAGACACGUAUCCCACAUUCCAUCUCAUCCUCAGUGAGCUCUCCUGCCCUCCUGAGGAGAUCGAUAUCUGCUUUCCUCAACAUCACAGGAGCAUAUCUUCACCCCACACCCUCAA